CCUACGGGUGGCAGCAGUGGGGAAUAUUCCACAAUGGGCGCAAGCCUGAUGGAGCAACGCCGCGUGGGUGAAGAAGGUCUUCGGAUCGUAAAACCGUGUUGUUAGGGGGGAAAGUGCGUGAGAGUAACUGUUCACGUUUCGACGGUAUCUAAACAGAAAGCCACGGCUAACUCCGUGACAGCAGCCGCGGUAAUACGGAGGAGGCAAGCGUUGUCCGGAUUUAUUGGGCGUAAAGGGAACGCAGGCGGUCUGUUAAGUGUGAUGUGAAAGCCUUCGGCUUAACCGGAGGAGUGCAUUUGAAACUGGGAGACUUGAGUGUAGAAGAGGAGAGCGGAAUGUCAGGUGUAGCGGUGAAAUGCGUAGAUAUAUGGAAGAACACCAGUGGCGAAAGCGGCUCUCCGGUCUGUAACUGACGUUGAGGUUCGAAAGCGUGGGUAGCAAACAGGAUUAGAUACCCCAGUAGUC
rnacentral:rRNA from 1 species